UACGUAGGGACCAAGCGUUGUUCGGAUUUACUGGGCGUAAAGGGCGCGUAGGCGCCUUCUAAGUCGAACGUGAAAUCCCCGGGCUCAACCCGGGAACUGCGUCCGAUACUGGAAGGCUUGAAUCGGGAGAGGGAUGCGGAAUUCCAGGUGUAGCGGUGAAAUGCGUAGAUAUCGGGAGGAACACCUGUGGCGAAAGCGGCUCUCUGGACCACAACUGACGCUGAGGCGCGAAAGCUAGGGGGAGCAAACCGG
rnacentral:rRNA from 1 species